rnacentral:rRNA from 1 species
UCUUGGUCAAUUUAGAGGAAGUAAAAGUCGUAACAAGGUUUCCGUAGGUGAACCUGCGGAAGGAUCAUUAUUGAAAUAAACCUGAUGGGUUGUUGCUGGUUCUCUAGGGAGCAUGUGCACACCUUGUCAUCUUUAUAUCUCCACCUGUGCACUUUUUGUAGACCUUUCGGGUCUAUGUUGCUUCAUUUACCCCAAUGUAUGUUAAUAGAAUGUUGUGCCUAUAUAAUAUAUACAACUUUCAGCAACGGAUCUCUUGGCUCUCGCAUCGAUGAAGAACGCAGCGAAAUGCGAUAAGUAAUGUGAAUUGCAGAAUUCAGUGAAUCAUCGAAUCUUUGAACGCACCUUGCGCUCCUUGGUAUUCCGAGGAGCAUGCCUGUUUGAGUGUCAUUAAUAUAUCAACCUUCUCUUUUUUGAGUUGUUUGGAUGUGGGGGUUUGCUGGCCUCUUAAAUGAUUCAGCUCCCCUGAAAUGCAUUAGCAGAACAACCUGUUCAUUGGCGUGAUAAUUAUCUAUGCUAUUGAAUGUGAGGGGCAGUUCAGCUUUCUAACCGUCCUCGGACAAUUCAUCAUUAAUGUGACCUCAAAUCAGGUAGGACUACCCGCUGAACUUAAGCAUAUCAAUAAGCGGAGGAA